CCAAACUUAAUAAAUUUCAAUUCAAAUAUAUAGAUGCAAAGGAUUCGAUUAAAUCGAUAAAUAGAUUCGACAGUUCAAAUGUGAAUCGAUUCAGUAACAUCGAUGCUAUGGAGAAAUUUGCUCAACGCUUUGUACACUGAAUCCUUAUACGAGGAAGUGAGGUAAUUUCUUUCUUGGUCUCUAUUGGACAGUUGACCGAAGAGGCUCAAGAGGAUGUAA